CAUAUGCAAAAUUAGCUAAAUUUGCCAAUAUUUGUUGCUUGCAUUCUAGAUUUAACAGAACAGUUUAAUACAAACUUGGAAAAUGAUUUGAAAAGAAGUUUCCCAUGAAUAAACAUGAAAAAAGUAAAAAUACUGCAUAAUGGACUUAUUUUAAUAUUUCUGCUUCUAAUUAUCUUUAUUGGAAGUAAUUUAUCAGUAAGCCUUAAAUUGACUUUGGAACCUAAUUUGGAACUGUUACAAAGUUUAAAAAGUGUAAAUAAUGAAAACAAAGACAUUAAAAACAAACUGAUUGAAGUUGAUGUCGCGAAAUUUCGAACAAAUCUUAGUAAUCCUGUUGAUCUUUUAACAAACGCAUUUUCAAAUUGGAUAGAAAAAUGUUGCUGCGAUACUGUGCCUCUUCCAGAUGUUUUCGAGAAUUUCGCUUUCUGCUCCUUGAAAUUGCAAAAUGGAAGGGUACAAAAACUGAGUACUAUAUAUCGUCAUAAAGAUCUAACAGCAUCAUUUGAAAAUGAUAAGCUUCGAUUUCACCUACCCGUGGGAUUCUCCGAA
rnacentral:lncRNA from 1 species